rnacentral:lncRNA from 1 species
UCCCCGACAGAGCCUGGAGAUUUUUCUGUUAUACACAUAUGUACUACUCGCUGCUGUUACAUUAGUGAAACAUUUCUAAUUAUUGUGUAAUUAACACUUUUUUAUGCUAUCUAAUUAAAAUUUCAUUUUAUGCAGGGUGCUGAUCUGAAAGCCCCCAUUGAUGAGCGAGUUGUGAAAAAGAUCAGGUUUCUUGUUGAUGAAGGGGUUUUCAAUGCCAAGGAAAUGCAAAGAUAUUUAAAGAUCUUUUGUAAGAAGUGAACUGUCUUCUGGCAGAGAAUCACCUCAAAUCAUCAACAGGAGGUACUUCCCUAGCAAGGAAGAUAUUCGGAAGCUCAUUUACCACCAAUGGAGGCAGACUAUCCACAGCUUCAUUGACCAGAAAGCCAUGUGUUUGACUAACGGCAUAGCCAUUACAAGGGUUUCCCACCAUCAUGCAAUUGGUAUGCGAAAUUAUGCUCUGUCCAAGCUCAUGGAAACUUCAUCAGAGCAUCCAUAACGAAGGAAAUACUGUGACACGGGUGGAUGUCAAGCGCCCGCCUCAUCAGCACGUGUACAAUGUGCUGUCUGACGUCGUUGGUCACAUUAUUUCUGUGUGCAUAUCACAGCAGCUCCAAAAAACACGACUUCGUGUGUCCAGUAUGUAAGGCACAGUAUUCUUGACAUGGAAACGUGAUGUAUUGUGGUCGAGCUAGAUUCUGCAAUCAGUUCUGAACCACUUUGAGUUUGAGAUCCAUGCUGGUCUUGUUGUUGGGAAUGAUUUAGUUGUUCCAAAGCCAUGAACUCACGAUACAGGGUUGAUAUUAACAGUCACAGAUAUCAGUUAAAAGUAAUUGGCAGAAAUAUAUUUUAUGUUAUUUACGAGUAAUUCACAGGAAUAUGUAUGAUGUCAUAAUACGAUAUCUGUAAUAUGAGGCCCAUUUAAUAACUUCAUGAACAGUCGGAAAUAAUUUCUCAGAUUCUGAGAGAAAAAAAAUUCCAUCAAUAAAUAUGACACAGUGACUGCAAAAAUCUGAAACCGCAGUUCAAAGAAGGUUUAUAGUACAGCAACUCCUAUUGAUGUAUCUUAUACAUGCAGAUGUCAUAUAUGAAGAUCAUAAAUCAAAGCUAGUGGGUAAGACGUAGACCAUGCAGGACAUUAAUUGCCUGUCAGUGACCAGGGUACGUGGAAUAGGAAAAUGCAUAAACAUAAAAUAAUAGGUAACCCAUGGAUGAAUUGACAUGUGUAUAGUAAUACAACUGAGAAUGAAGGCGGUGGGAUUUUGGAAAGGCAAGAUGUACAUUGCGCUUUGUAGUAAAAUUGUGUGAUUGGCAUCUACAUGCAUACAAUUUUUAAGCAUCUUAUGAUAUAAAUUACAAUUUCAUAAGUUAGCGGAAGAAAAACCAUCCAGGUACGUGUAGGAUUCAAGAUAGUCAUGGACAGCUAUAUGAUGAACGAGCAAACCAAGUUUACUGAAAAUCUCAUUUUUCAUUCAAAUCUCAUAAAAAUCAACUGUCAUACUGCAGUGUACUAAUUAAUUAAUUUAGCUGAUUCGCUCACAGAAGACAACUGUUGAGAACAAUUAUGAAAGCAACAGUUAUCUACAGUUACACGUCUGUAUGGGAUCGGACAAUAUGUUAUUCCCAGGUAUAGUCUGGAUCAAUUGCAAACUCAAGGCUAUUUGUAAGUCAGUGAUCUGUUAGUUUAAGCGGCCAUAUACAACAUUUUUUAGCUAAGGAAGUUGACCAAGAACAAGAAAUAUAUUAACAUAGCUCACCAACAUACAUGUUGCAAGAAGGAAAGAACAAUCAGUAUUUUCAUACACAAUACAUAAAACCAGAGUAACAACCGAAACUAAAUAUCAUGUAUAUAGUACAUGCAAAGCGUUUAAUUUUACCAAAUACCAAGAACUUAAAAUUUAAACUUUUUGGACCAGUAAAUCAGGUUGAUAACAUGUUGAAUACGAUACAUGUAAAUGCUGAGAAGAGGAUGCAUCUCGUGUAACAUAACGGGACGAAAUAUGAACAUAAACAUUUUGUAAUCAUUUAAAAGCUCCUUAUCGGUUAUGCUGUUGUGGUGAUAUAUAAAUAGUUGACAGAAUUUAACAGCUAUACAUGUAUUAAAAAAAUAAUUUAUAUUGUAAAUAAACACUAAAAAUGAAUAAGUAUUUGCAUUUUACAUGACUGUAUUUUUGUGUACAUAGUGAUAAUAUUAUAUUAUCUUCAAAUGAUGGAUUUAAAUAGAGAAGAAAUACAAGUGGCUGUCAUACACAUGUAUUUACACAUAUAAAAGGGAACUUAUGUUAUACAGUCAAACCUUAUAUAAAGGACAUCUAAGGGGAAAGGCAAAAGUGACCUUCAUAGAUGGAUGUCUUUAUACACAAAUCACUCACUUGGUGAAUAUGUUUUAUAUUAAUUCUUAAUGUGUCAUUAUUAGAUAUAUACCUAUACCUAUUGUUUUAUUGCAAAGAGGUUAUAUUUGUAUUAUGUAGAACAACUUAUGAUGCUGAUUAUCAAUCUUGACAUAAAUAUAUAUAUAGUUCAUAGAUUUUUCCUAAAAAACAUUUCUUGAGUAAUUGGAGGUCAUUUUAACCCUUUUAAGGUGUCAUUUAAGGUCAAAAUGUCCUUUAUAUACUGUGUUCUUUAUACAAAGGUCAAUUAUAUAUUGGGGAUGCUUAAGGCUGUCCUUUAUAGUAUCAUAGUGAUAUCUCACCAGGUAGAAUGAGACAGUGGUUCGAAAUUUGGUCUUUGUUAUAAGUCGUUACGAUCCAGUUCAUUUGUAUUUUUAUAUCGUUGUCCAUAUCGCAGAAUGAUACCAUUGAAAUAUGAGUGAAAAUAGUACAUGCAAAGGGUUUAAUUUUACCAAAUACCAAGAACUUAAAAUUUAAACGUUUUGGACCAAUAAAUACAGGUUGAUAAUAUCUUGAAUACUAUACAUGGUUGAAUACUAUCUGGUUGCAUAUAGUGUCAUAGUGAUAUCUCGCCAGGUAGAAUGAGACAGUGGUUCGAAAUUUGAUCUUUGUUAUAAGUCGUUACAAUCUAGUUCAUUUGUAUUUUUAUAUCGUUGUCCAUAUCGCAGAAUGAUACCAUUGAAAUAUGAAUUUAAAUCUUUGAAAUUAAAAAGAAAUUGUAUGAA